UACAGAGGUCCCAAGCGUUGUUCGGAUUUACUGGGCGUAAAGGGUGCGUAGGCGGUUUGCUAAGACCGAUGUGAAAUCCCCGGGCUUAACCUGGGAACUGCAUUGGUGACUGGCAGGCUAGAGUAUGGCAGAGGGGGGUAGAAUUCCACGUGUAGCAGUGAAAUGCGUAGAGAUGUGGAGGAAUACCGAUGGCGAAGGCAGCCCCCUGGGCCAAUACUGACGCUCAUGCACGAAAGCGUGGGGAGCAAACAGG
rnacentral:rRNA from 1 species